AAGAUUUAUUUAUUGAUUAUGUAAGUACACUGUAGCUGUCUUCAGACACUCCAGAAGAGGGCAUCAGAUCUCGUUACGGAUGGUUGUGAGCCACCAUGUGGUUGCUGGGACUUGAACUCAGGACCUUCGGAAGAGCAGUCAGUGCUCUUAACCGAUGAGCCAUCUCACCAGCCCCCAUUUUUUUUUUUAUUUACUAUUAUAUUUUUACUUAUUCACUUUACAUUCCACUCACUACCACACUUCCGGUCUCCCCCUCACACAGACCUUUCCCCCACCUCUCCUCCCCUUCUCCCUUGAGUAGGUGGGAGCUUCCCUGUGUAUCAUAUGCCUCCCCCCACUUGCUGGAAUGCCUAGGUCUAGCCCGUGUAUGCUCUUUGGUUGGUGGUUCAGUCUCUGAGAGCCCCAAAGGUCUAGGUUAGUUAACUCUGUUGGUCUUCCUGUGGAGUUCCUAUCCCUUUAGAGGCUGGCUCAUAAUAGUUUUGUUUGUUUGUUUGUGAUCUAUUUAUUUUAUGUAUUCGAGUACACUGGCGCUCUCUUCAGACACACCAGAAGAGGGCAUCAGAUCCCAUUAACAGAUGGUUGUGAGCCACCAUGUGGUUGCUGGGAAUUGAACUCAGGACCUCUGGAAGAACAGCUAGUCCUCUUAACCACUGAGCCAUCUUUCCAGCCCCUCAUGAUAGUUUUGACUGUCAUGGAAUUCACUAUGUAGACCAGGCAAGCUUUUUACUCACAGAGAUCCUCUUAAGUGCUGUGAUUAAAGGUAUGCACCACAAAUCUUGUUAAAACACUCUCUGAGGUACAAUGUAUAUAUGGAAAAAAAGUUAUCUGCAUAGAGAUUCAGAAUAUUACCUCUUCCUAGAAAUCUGUUUCUUGAAAAAAAUUUACAUUUAUUCAUUCAUGUGUUAGGCAUGCAUAUGGCUUGUUAUGCUUGUGGAGGUUAGAGGACAACUCACAGGAAUGGAUUUUCUCCUUCUGGGAUUGAAUUUGGAUCAUUAGGCUUGGCAGCAAGUGCCCUUUUCUGUUUAGCUGUCUCACUGACCUCUGAAAUCUUUUUAUGUUUCCUCUAUUGUCAUUCUAUCUCCAGAAGAGAACACCCCCACCCCUAUCCCCACCCCAGACAGGGUUUCUCUGUGUAGCUCUGGCUGUUCUGAAACUCACUCUGUAGACCAGGUUGGCCUCGAACUCAGAAAUCCUCCUGCCUCUGCCUCCCAAGUGCUAGGAUUAAAGGUGUGUGCCACCACUGCCUGGUGGGAACCACUUUUUGCUAUGGUGUGUAAAUACUCUGUGCUAACUAUUUAUACGUGUGGAGUGCUUCCUCUGGGUAGUAUUCAUGUUCAUUUGCAAGGUUGAGACUGUUGUACAAAAUAUCCACAGAUUUCUUUAGAGCAGAAUAAUGUCUGUUUAAUAGAAUGAUUCUCAUCUGGGAACAGUUUACCCUCCAGUGGAUAUUUGGUAUUGUAUGGGGAAAGGGACCUUUUUUUUUCUUGCAGAUAGAAUUGGUGUUGCUAUUAUUCAUAUUUUGUUUCUAGAGGCCAGAGGUACUGCUAAACAAUCAACAGUACCUAGGACAGCUUUCUUCUUCUUCUAAUUUUUUUUUAAAGAUUAUUUAUACAGUGUUGUGCCUGCAUAUACACCUUCAGGUCAGAAGAGGGCACCAGAUCUCACUAUAAAUGGUUAUGAUCCACCCACCAUACUGGGAACUGAACUCAGUACCUCAUGAAGAGCAGCUGCUGCACUUAACCUUUGAGCCAUGUCUCCAGCCCCUUAGGGCAGCUUUCUACAACAAAGAUCUCUUCUCAGCCUCCCAAAGUUAGUAGGGCUGAGGUUAGGAAACAGUUCUAAUUGGCUAGAAUAUAUUGUAGCAUUAUAGUAAUAAGCUAUAUGUUAAAUUAUUGAAAACCCAGUCUGCUUUUGAAAUUUUUGUGGGAAUUCUUCGUCAAAAAUCUCUAUUGUAUGAUCCUAGCCAUUAGGAGGCUGAGACAGAAUGAUUGAUAAUUCCAGGUUAAUCUGCCUUACAAAGUGAAAGGCUGCUGGGCAAAACAAAGCAACCCUUCCCAAAGAAACAAAAUCUGUUUUUGAAUAGCUCUUAUCAGUACACUCUUUGUUUUGAGACAAAAUUUCACUCUGUAGUCCAGGCUGGUCUGGAACUCACUCUAGUCCAGGAUGGCCUUGAAUUUAUAGCAAGCUCCCUGCUUCAGUCUCUAGUGCUGGAAUUAUGUGUUUUGAGUCACCAUGCCAUGCCUAGCUUUGAAUAUGUUUUUCCUUCUUUCAAUAAAGACUGAGACAGACACAGAUACUUGUACCUAACCAUUGGACUGAAGUUGGGGACUCCUAUGGUUGAAUUAGGGGAAGGAUUUAAAAAUCUGAAGGGGAAGGUGACCC
rnacentral:lncRNA from 1 species